rnacentral:rRNA from 1 species
GACGAACGCUGGCGGCGUGCUUAACACAUGCAAGUCGAACGGAAAGGCCCCUUCGGGGGUACUCGAGUGGCGAACAGGUGAGUAACACGUGAGUAACCUGCCCUUGACUUCGGGAUAACUUCAGGAAACUGGGGCUAAUACCGGAUAGGAAUCCUUGCUGCAUGGUGGGGGUUGGAAAGCUUCGGCGGUUUUGGAUGGACUCGCGGCCUAUCAGCUUGUUGGUGGGGUAGUGGCUUACCAAGGCAUUGACGGGUAGCCGGCCUGGGAGGGCGACCGGCCACAUUGGGACUGAGAUACGGCCCAGACUCCUACGGGAGGCAGAAGGGGGGAAUAUUGCACAAUGGGCGGAAGCCUGAUGCAGCAACGCCGCGUGCGGGAUGACGGCCUUCGGGUUGUAAACCGCUUUCAGCAGGGGCGAAGCUUGUGGUGACGGUACCUGAAGAAGAAGCACCGGCUAACUACGUG